AAACAACAUUUCUACACACACAGAAAACAGUUAUCACAACAAAAUUCCUUACUUUAUGGAGUCACAAAUAACAAAGCGGCAGCUGGAGGACCAGCUCCCCUGGAGUCCGUGGGUUGCUGGAGAGGUGGAAAGAAGAUCUCUUAGGACCCCUACACCUACAAGAGCCUUUGAGACAAAGAUGCAACAAAGAGGCAAAGAAUAACGCAGACAGGAAAGUGAGAGAUGGCUGCUGGUUGGAUCACGGCUGGGAACGCAUGGAUGCGAAUCCAGGCUUGGCUUUAAGAGAGGGAGAGAAUGUGGAUAGAUAACACUUGAUUGAACGAGGUAUUUGACUUUUAAAAAAAAUUUGAUAUCUGAUAGGCUGUGGCAGGUAUGUUAAUAAGACAUUCUGUUAAGUCGCUGCCAUCAUGGACCUUACACACUAGCAGCUGUAGUGGGGAAAGGAGGGCAAAGCAUCAUGAAGCAAAUUGUUUUCCUCCACCUGCAGUAAGAUGUAAGUAGCAAAGGAGACAACCAGAGACACCAAGAGGCGAUCUGUAAGGCUUAGACGAGAGCCAUGUCAUUCAGAGUUCCAAGUCCAGAGACAAAUGGCAGUAAAUGGACCACAUGAAUGGACUGCAGCGAAGAGACCUGAGACAAUUCAUGCCAGUGCAGACUGAGAUGUGCAAGGCAGAAGCAAUUUAGAGAGACUGAAAGAGAAAGGAAGGCCCAGUUAAAAUCCAAAUGGAGAGAAGCACAAUGUAAAAGCAAAUUGGAAAAAGCUGAAGCAACAGAGGGACCCUCAGGAAGAUGGUGAGUGUGAGAAAAAAGCACAGGAGAAAUGUCCUCUGCAACCCAAACCCGCCUCAUCAAAUAGCUCUGGACCCAGUUUUUAUCUUUACAAGUGAUAGCUGGCUGCUGCCAACUGUUUGCAUAGUGUGUACAUUGAAAUAUUUUAUUGUUUUAUGGAUGCAAUAAAAUAAAUGUGAUUAAAGGCAGAAAUCACACUUGAGUUCUGGUGAAGGAGACUGGAAUGCUGGAACCAGGGCUUUAAAAAGCAAAGCAAGGUCUUUUAGUCAGAGAAGAGGAAUCUGUUUCCUGUUCUU
rnacentral:lncRNA from 1 species